UGGGGAAUAUUGGACAAUGGGCGAAAGCCUGAUCCAGCCAUGCCGCGUGUGUGAAGAAGGUCUUCGGAUUGUAAAGCACUUUAAGUUGGGAGGAAGGGCAGUAAGCGAAUACCUUGCUGUUUUGACGUUACCGACAGAAUAAGCACCGGCUAACUCUGUGCCAGCAGCCGCGGUAAUACAGAGGGUGCAAGCGUUUAUCGGAAUUACUGGGCGUAAAGCGCGCGUAGGUGGUUCGUUAAGUUGAAUGUGAAAGCCCCGGGCUCAACCUGGGAACUGCAUCCAAAACUGGCGAGCUAGAGUAGGGCAGAGGGUGGUGGAAUUUCCUGUGUAGCGGUGAAAUGCGUAGAUAUAGGAAGGAACACCAGUGGCGAAGGCGACCACCUGGGCUCAUACUGACACUGAGGUGCGAAAGCGUGGGGAGCAAACAGG
rnacentral:rRNA from 1 species